rnacentral:rRNA from 1 species
GAUGAACGCUGGCGGCGUGCCUAAUACAUGCAAGUCGAGCGAACAGACGAGGAGCUUGCUCCUCUGACGUUAGCGGCGGACGGGUGAGUAACACGUGGAUAACCUACCUAUAAGACUGGGAUAACUUCGGGAAACCGGAGCUAAUACCGGAUAAUAUAUUGAACCGCAUGGUUCAAUAGUGAAAGACGGUUUUGCUGUCACUUAUAGCUGGAUCCGCGCCGCAUUAGCUAGUUGGUAAGGUAACGGCUUACCAAGGCAACGAUGCGUAGCCGACCUGAGAGGAUGAUCGGCCACACUGGAACUGAGACACGGUCCAGACUCCUACGGGAGGCAGCAGUAGGGAAUCUUCCGCAAUGGGCGAAAGCCUGACGGAGCAACGCCGCGUGAGUGAUGAAGGUCUUCGGAUCGUAAAGCUCUGUUAUUAGGGAAGAACAAAUGUGUAAGUAACUAUGCACGUCUUGACGGUACCUAAUCAAAAAGCCACGGCUAACUACGUG